GACAGAGGUGCCGAGCGUUAGGCGGAAUCACUGGGCUUAAAGCGUGUGUAGGCGGACCGUUAAGUACCUUGUGAAAUCCCCCCGGCUCAACCGGGGGAACGGCUGGGUAUACUGGCGGUCUUGAGCCAUCCAGGGGCAGUCGGAACAGACGGUGGAGCGGUGAAAUGCGUAGAUAUCGUCUGGAACGCCGAAGGUGAAAACAGACUGCUGGGGAUGCGCUGACGCUGAGACACGAAAGCCAGGGGGAGCGAACGGG
rnacentral:rRNA from 1 species